ACAAAUAGGUCUAUUUCCUAUUGAUAUAUUUGAUUUUAUUUUGAGGCUAUUGAGUUGGCAUAUUGAUGGAGGAAUUCUAAUUAUUUGAAUUCAUAUAUUUGGAUUGGGCUACUGAAUUUUUCUUAUAAUUGUUGGAGACUAUUGGAUGUGUUAACUUGAACUAAAGUCUAGAUUUAUGAUCUAACCAAGAAUCUUUGCCAUUGAGUAGAGAUUUAGAUUUUGAGAUGCUUAUGUGAGUUAUCAUAUGUAGCAUUGAUCAUACAUAUUAAGAAUCUUGGUGAAGAAAGAUUUGAAGGUUUAUAGAGUUAAUUUCUAAUCAUAGU
rnacentral:lncRNA from 1 species